rnacentral:rRNA from 1 species
UACCAGCACCCCGAGUGGUCGGGACGAUUAUUGGGCCUAAAGCAUCCGUAGCCGGUUCUACAAGUCUUCCGUUAAAUCCACCUGCUUAACAGAUGGGCUGCGGAGGAUACUAUAGAGCUAGGGGGCGGGAGAGGCAAGCGGUACUUAGUGGGUAGGGGUAAAAUCCGUUAAUCCAUUGAAGCCCACCAGUGGCGAAGGCGGCUUGCCAGAACGCACUCGACGGUGAGGGAUGAAAGCUGGGGAGCAAACCGG